rnacentral:sRNA from 1 species
GGACAACUUGGGUGCGCUUGGCUGGAGGCUGAGCCCUGGUGAGAUCUCAGAGCUGGAAGCCGCGGCGAUGGAGUGCCCCAAGAAAAUGGUUCAGAACAUAUUUCAGACCACAUGAGCAAACUGUAGUACUCCGUAUUAAACAUGACAGCAACCUGAAAUAAGAGCAGAGCAGGUUGCUUUCUCUUCUGUGCCUAGUUCAGAGUUCGGUUCAGAACUUCAGAGUUAUACCAUUGUAUAAAUCCUGACUAGAUGUCUAGAGCUGUAUGCUGAUUGCCUGUUGAGAUUUAAUUAACCCACGUGUUAAUUAAGAAGAAUCUUCACU